rnacentral:rRNA from 1 species
UACGAAGGGGGCUAGCGUUGCUCGGAAUCACUGGGCGUAAAGGGUGCGUAGGCGGGUCUUUAAGUCAGGGGUGAAAUCCUGGAGCUCAACUCCAGAACUGCCUUUGAUACUGAAGAUCUUGAGUUCGGGAGAGGUGAGUGGAACUGCGAGUGUAGAGGUGAAAUUCGUAGAUAUUCGCAAGAACACAGUGGCGAAGGCGGCUCACUGGCCCGAUACUGACGCUGAGGCACGAAAGCGUGGGGAGCAAACAGG